ACUCCGAAAUGGCAUUGAAUACUAUUCGGCUUGAGGGUCGGAGGGGAGACUGGAAUUCUCGGUGUAGCAGUGAAAUGCGUAGAUAUCGAGAGGAACACCAGUGGCGAAGGCGAGUCUCUGGACGACACCUGACACUGAGGCACGAAAGCUAGGGGAGCAAACAGGAUUAGAUACCCUGGUAGUCCUAGCUGUAAACGGUGCACGUUUGCUGUAAGAGGAAUCGACCCCUUUUGUGGCGAAGCUAACGCGCUAAACGUGCCGCCUGGGGAGUACGGUCGCAAGAUUAAAACUCAAAGAAAUUGACGGGGGCCUGCACAAGCGGUGGAGUAUGUGGCUUAAUUCGAUGCAACGCGAAGAACCUUACCUGGCCUUGACAUGCACGUAGUAGGAGCCUGAAAGGGUAACGAACCCGCAAGGGAAGCGUGCACAGGUGCUG
rnacentral:rRNA from 1 species